CUAGAGCCCCGUAAGGGGACCGGGAUAAGUCGGUGAGUGCCCGGCUCAUAGUAAAACCCCGACAGCC
rnacentral:sRNA from 1 species